rnacentral:rRNA from 1 species
CUUGAACGCUGGCGGCAGGCCUAACACAUGCAAGUCGAGCGGCGCGGCCGACGCGUGCGUGAUGCCUAGGUAUCUGCCUGUGCGUGAGGGCUCACGUCCUGAAACGGACGCUAAUACCACAUCCUAUCAGAUGCGUCUGUGUCGGAUUAGCUAGUUGGUGGGGUAAAGGCCUACCAACGCGACGAUCCGUAACUGGUCUGAGAGGAUGAUCAGUCACACUGGAACUGAGACACGGUCCAGACUCCUACGGGAGGCAGCAGUGGGGAAUAUUGGACAAUGGGCGAAAGCCUGAUCCAGCCAUGCCGCGUGUAUGAAGAAGGUCUGCGGGGGGUAAAGCACUGUAAGUAGGGAGGCGGGACGACCAGAAUAAGCACCGGCUAACUCCGGGCCAGCAGCCGCGGUAAUAC